AGUGAACGCUGGCGGUAGGCCUAACACAUGCAAGUCGAACGGCAGCACAGUAAGAGCUUGCUCUUACGGGGGGCGAGUGGGGGACGGGUGAGGAAUAUAUCGGAAUCUACUUUUUCGUGGGGGAUAACGUAGGGAAACUUACUCUAAUACCGCAUACGCUCUACGGGUGUAAGCAGGGGAUCGUCGGACCUUGCGCGAUUGAAUGAGCCGAUGUUGGAGUGGUUGGUUGGCGGGGUAAAGGCCCACGGAGGCGACGAUCCGUAGCUGGUCUGAGAGGAGGGUCGGCCACACGGGAGCUGGGACACGGUCAAGGGUACUACGAGAGGCAGCAGACGGGAAUAUUGGACAGAAGUCGCAAACCUGAUCCAGCCAUACCGCGUGGGUGGAGGAGGCCUUCGGGUUGUGAAGCCCUUUUGUUGGGAAAGAAAAGCAGCAGGUUAAGACCCCGCUGUUCUGACGGUACCCAAUGAAUAAGCACCGGCUAACUACGUG
rnacentral:rRNA from 1 species